rnacentral:lncRNA from 1 species
GGGGACGUACGGGGAAGUCAUGGACUGAUAGGGAAUUCCUUGAUUAAGCAACACCACCUAGGGAUAAAGGUAGGACGAUCAAUUGUAUUUUGUUUCCGUGUUACAUGCAUUGCUAAUUACUAGGGGAGACUAGGGAUAGUAAGCUAGUAAUUAGUAGUAGGCUCUUUUCGCCUAGAGAUUGGGUUUAGGGUAGACUAAGACAGUAUGCAUGACAAUUAGAUGUUGAGAUUGUUG